AUGGAAAAACACCUGCUUCUCAUUUUAAUUCUGAUUUCGGGUGUGAUGACUGCAGACCAGAUUAGUCCAAAUAAAGAUGCUGUUGUCAUAAAGGAAGAUGAGACUGUGACCCUCAGCUGCUCAUAUGACACAAGCAGCAGUUAUGUUAGACUUUAUUGUUAUUCAUCUGCAUUUAAUCUUCACUGGUACCGCCAGUAUCCCAAAUCAGCUCCUGAAUUCAUUAUGCUCAUCUCAGGCAGUGCAAAAGAAGCUCAGGAGUCUUAUGUAGAUUCCAGAUUCACUGCCAAAGUCACCACAGACAAAGAAAACCUUGUGGAUCUGGAGAUCUCCUCUGCAUCUAUAUCAGACUCUGCUCUGUACUACUGCGCUCUGACGCCCACAGUGACAGGAAACACAAGAACACUGUACAAAAACCUGACAUAA